AUUGAACGCUGGCGGCAGGCCUAACACAUGCAAGUCGAGCGAGCGGCGGACGGGUGAGUAAUGUCUGGGAACCUGCCUGUUGGAGGGGGCUAACUACUGGAAACGGUAGCUAAUACCGCAUCCCGUCAGCUUUGCCCAGAUGUGAUUAGCUAGUAGGUGGGGUAACGGCUCACCUAGGCGACGAUCCCUAGCUGGGCUGAGAGGAUGACCAGCAACACUGGAACUGAGACACGGUCCAGACUCCGACGGGAGGCAGCAGUGGGGAAGAUUGCACAAUGGGCGCAAGCCUGAUGCAGCCAUGCCGCGUGUGUGAAGAAGGCCUUCGGGUUGUAAAGCACUUUCAGCGGGGAGGCGUUACCCGCAGAAGAAGCACCGGCUAACUCCGUGCCAACAGCCGCGGUAAUUC
rnacentral:rRNA from 1 species